UUAACCCUUUUGCCCUAGCCAAUAUAUUACACAUCCACAGCCGCCACCGCCCGCACCAGGUUCUCCCUCUUCUUCUUCUUCACGGAUUCUUUCCUGCUGCUCCGCCGUGGUGACUGCCUGAACGGUGAGGUUCAUACUUUUUUUCGAACCGCCGGUUUUUGGUCUGAUCCACUGGAUCGAGCAUAGAAUAUUUCGGCCGUAUCUUGGCGCGGCAGAACGGAAGGCACUUCAUGUGCAACCGGUUCUAGCAGCCAUGGCGUGUCCGAUUAUCCUUGCUCCGAUAUAUACAGAUCGAUGCAUCUACUCAAGGAGAUGGAUGCGCCGAAGAACUGAAACCGAACAAACCCUAAAACAAUCGAAAUUAGGGUUCAGGGUUAGGGUUUUCUGAGAAAUCUCAGGUUGUGUUUGUUUGGGGGUUUGGAUUUUGGAUAGGUUAUUUGCCUCCUUCCGGAGGUAAUUAUGAAAAUGGGUAUAUGAUUCGAGAAAUCUUGCCCAGGUUGCUUAGGGUUUUCCCCAAACUAGUAACCGGCACUGAUUUGGUCGAAUUUUAAGCCCAUUGGCAAUGGAGAGGGGUUUUUACACAGGGUGGUUGCGCCCCUCUUCCUCAGCCUGUGAAGAAAAGCCAACAGCCCUUUCAGCACCAGUUCUUAACAAUAGGACUGGUUGCCAUCGAUCAAUCUCUAUGUAAAUGGAGCCUUAAUUAUUGCUCCCAUUUUUGGGAUAGCUUUGAAUUGAUUAGAGUCGGGAAGAACCUAAGAAGUGACUGAGGAUGAGGCUGUGAUGAUAUGCUUGUCUUGAAAAAUCUGAGCUAAUUGAUGGGGGCACGGAGGAUUCAACUUGUAUCUUGGUGUGGCAUCCCGGAAGGCAUUUUUAGAUUGCAUCCGGAGAUUGCAGCCAUGGCAGGUUGCCUUCUCUUUGCUGCCUUUGUAAUUGCAGAUCUGAGCCUCAUA